rnacentral:rRNA from 1 species
CUUGAACGCUGGCGGCAGGCCUAACACAUGCAAGUCGAACGAGUGGCGGACGGGUGAGUAAUGUCUGGGAAACUGCCUGAUGGAGGGGGAUCACUACUGUAAACGUUAGCUAAUACCGCAUACCAUCAGAUGUGCCCACAUGGGAUUAUCUAGUUGGUGGGGUAACGGCUCACCAAGGCGACGAUCCCUAGCUGGUCUGAGAGGAUGACCAGCCACACUGGAACUGAGACACGGUCAAGAAUCCUACGGGAGGCAGCAGUGGGGAAUAUUGCGCAAUGGGCGCAAGCCUGAUACAGCCAUGCCGCGUGUAUGAAGAAGGCCUUCGGGUUGUAAAGUACUUUCAGCGGGGAGGCGUUACCCGCAGAAGAAGCAACGGCUAACUCCGUGCCAGCAGCCGCGGUAAUUC